UAAAUACUACCUGAUGACCGAUAGAGGAGCAGUACCGUGAGGGAAAGGUGAAAAGAACCCCGGGAGGGGAGUGAAAUAGUACCUGAAACCGUAUGUCUACAAGCAGUCGGAGCGAAAGCGACGGCGUGCCUAUUGAAGAAUGAACCAACGAGUUAUCUGCACUAGCGAGGUUAAGUGGAAGACACGGAGCCGUAGCGAAAGCGAGUCUGAAAAGGGCGGAUAGUUAGUGUAGGUAGACCCGAAACCGCAGUGAUCUACCCAUGUCCAGGUUGAAGCGCAGGUAAAAAUGCGUGGAGGACCGAACCGGUGAGCGUUGAAAAGCUUUCGGAUGAGAUGUGGGUAGGGGUGAAAUUCCAAUCGAACGCGGAGAUAGCUGGUUCUCCCCGAAAUAGCUUUAGGGCUAGCCUCAGGUAGUAAGUAUAGGCGGUAGAGCACUGAUCGGGCUAGGGGCCAUAAAGGUUACCGAACCCUGUCAAACUCCGAAUGGAUAUACUGCAGAGCCUGGGAGUCAGACUACGAGUGAUAAGAUCCGUGGUCAAAAGGGAAACAGCCCAGACCACCGGCUAAGGUCCCAAAUGCCGUACUAAGUGGAAAAGGAUGUGGGGAUUCAUAAACAACCAGGAUGUUGGCUCAGAAGCAGCCAUCAUUUAAAGAGUGCGUAAUAGCUCACUGGUCGAGAGUCCCUGCGCCGAAAAUUUCCGGGGCUAAAGUACGGAACCGAAGCCGUGGCUGUGCAUGUAAGUGCACGGGGUAGGGGAGCGUUGCCACAGGGGUGAAGCUGGUCUGGAAGGACUGGUGGACUUGUGGGAAGUGAGAAUGUUGGUAUGAGUAGCGAAAAGAAAGGUGAGAAUCCUUUCCACCGAAAGCAUAAGGAUUCCUGAGCAACGAUCGUCGUCUCAGGGUAAGUCGGGACCUAAUCCGAGGCAAAGAGCGUAGGAGAUGGACAACAGGUUGAUAUUCCUGUACCGGCAGCAAUUGUUUGAGCGAAGGAGUGACACAGAAGGGCAGGCAGGCGCGAGACUGGAUUGUCGCGUGCAAGCGUGUAGGGUAGUGUACAGGCAAAUCCGUACACUGAAAGCCUGAGGCGUUACGCGGAGCGAGCAGAGAUGCGAGCGAAGCUGCUGAUCCCACACUGUCGAGAAAAGCUUCUAGUGAGAGAGCUGCCGCCCGUACCGUAAACCGACACAGGUAUGCGGGGAGAGAAUCCUAAGGUGCGCGGGAGAACCCUCGUUAAGGAACUCGGCAAAAUGUACCCGUAACUUCGGGAUAAGGGUAGCCGUCUUGGUGAAAGAGCUUGCCUCUGGAGCUAAAGGCGGUCGCAGAGAAGAGGCCCAAGCGACUGUUUACCACAAACACAGGUGCCUGCUAAAGCGAAAGCUGACGUAUAGGUGCUGACACCUGCCCAGUGCUGGAAGGUUAAGGAAGGAUGUCCGGGCAACCAAAGCAUUCGACCGAAGCCCCAGUGAACGGCGGCCGUAACUAUAACGGUCCUAAGGUAGCGAAAUUCCUUGUCGGGUAAGUUCCGACCCGCACGAAAGGUGUAACGAUUUGGGCACUGUCUCAACGAGGGACCCGGUGAAAUUGAAAUACCUGUGAAGAUGCAGGUUACCCGCGACUGGACAGAAAGACCCCAUGGAGCUUUACUGUAACCUGACAUUGGGUUUUGUUGUAUUACGUACAGGAUAGGUGGGAGGCUUGGAAGGCUGGACGCUAGUCUGGCUGGAGCCGGCGUUGGGAUACCACCCUUGAUACAACGGAAUUCUAACCGAGAGAGUAACGAAAUCCGGGACAGUGUCAGGCGGGCAGUUUGACUGGGGCGGUCGCCUCCGAAAGAGUAACGGAGGCGCCCAAAGGUUCCCUCAGCGCGGCCGGAAAUCGCGCGAAGAGUGUAAAGGCAGAAGGGAGCUUGACUGCGAGCCAAACACGGCGAGCAGGUACGAAAGUAGGGCUUAGUGAUCCGGUGGUACCGAGUGGAAGGGCCAUCGCUCAACGGAUAAAAGCUACCCUGGGGAUAACAGGCUAAUCUCUCCCAAGAGUCCAUAUCGACGGGGAGGUUUGGCACCUCGAUGUCGGCUCAUCACAUCCUGGGGCUGAAGUCGGUCCCAAGGGUUGGGCUGUUCGCCCAUUAAAGUGGUACGUGAGCUGGGUUCAGAACGUCGUGAGACAGUUCGGUCCCUAUCCGUCGCAGGCGUAGGAAAUUUGAGAGGAGCUGUCCUUAGUACGAGAGGACCGGGAUGGACUGACCUCUGGU
rnacentral:rRNA from 1 species